rnacentral:rRNA from 1 species
UGCGUUGAGCUAACCGAUACUAAUGAACCGUGAGGCUUAACCUUACAACGCCGAAGC